rnacentral:rRNA from 1 species
GACGAACGCUGGCGGCGUGCCUAAUACAUGCAAGUAGAACGCUGAAGGAGGAGCUUGCUUCUCUGGAUGAGUUGCGAACGGGUGAGUAACGCGUAGGUAACCUGCCUGGUAGCGGGGGAUAACUAUUGGAAACGAUAGCUAAUACCGCAUAAAAUUGAUUAUCGCAUGAUAAUCAAUUGAAAGGUGCAAAUGCAUCACUACCAGAUGGACCUGCGUUGUAUUAGCUAGUUGGUGGGGUAACGGCUCACCAAGGCGACGAUACAUAGCCGACCUGAGAGGGUGAUCGGCCACACUGGGACUGAGACACGGCCCAGACUCCUACGGGAGGCAGCAGUAGGGAAUCUUCGGCAAUGGACGGAAGUCUGACCGAGCAACGCCGCGUGAGUGAAGAAGGUUUUCGGAUCGUAAAGCUCUGUUGUAAGAGAAGAACGAGUGUGAGAGU